GCGUGAACGAUGAAGGCCCUAGGGUUGUAAAGUUCUUUCAGCGGGGAAGAUAAUGACGGUACCCGCAGAAGAAGCCCCGGCUAACUCCGUGCCAGCAGCCGCGGUAAUACGGAGGGGGCUAGCGUUGUUCGGAAUUACUGGGCGUAAAGCGCACGUAGGCGGACCAUCAAGUCAGAGGUGAAAUCCCGGAGCUCAACUCCGGAACUGCCUUUGAAACUGCUGGUCUGGAGAUCGAGAGAGGUGAGUGGAAUUCCGAGUGUAGAGGUGAAAUUCGU
rnacentral:rRNA from 1 species